GCCGAAGUGGCGAAAUAGGUAGACGCAGUUGAUUCAAAAUCAACCGCCUUGUGGUGUGCCGGUUCGAGUCCGGCCUUCGGCA
rnacentral:tRNA from 1 species